rnacentral:rRNA from 1 species
AGAGUUUGAUCAUGGCUCAGGACGAACGCUGGCGGCGUGCCUAACACAUGCAAGUCGAGCGGGGAGAGAUUUUCGGAUUUCUCUUUAGCGGCGGACGGGUGAGUAACACGUGGGUAACCUGCCUCAAAGAGGGGGAUAGCCUUCCGAAAGGAAGAUUAAUACCGCAUAAUAUCAGGAAGCUGCAUGGCAUUCUGAUCAAAGGAGCAAUCCGCUUUGAGAUGGACCCGCGGCGUAUUAGCUAGUUGGUGAGGUAACGGCCCACCAAGGCGACGAUGCGUAGCCGACCUGAGAGGGUGAUCGGCCACAUUGGAACUGAGACACGGUCCAGACUCCUACGGGAGGCAGCAGUGGGGAAUAUUGCACAAUGGGGGAAACCCUGAUGCAGCAACGCCGCGUGAGUGAUGAAGGCCUUCGGGUCGUAAAGCUCUUUGAUCAGGGACGAUAAUGACGGUACCUGAAAAACAAGCCACGGCUAACUACGUGCCAGCAGCCGCGGUAAUACGUAGGUGGCGAGCGUUGUCCGGAUUUACUGGGCGUAAAGAAUGCGUAGGUGGAUAUUUAAGUGGGAUGUGAAAUCCCCGGGCUCAACCCGGGAACUGCAUACCAAACUGGAUAUCUGGAGUGCAGGAGAGGAAA